UACAGAGGUCCCAAGCGUUGUUCGGAUUCACUGGGCGUAAAGGGUGCGUAGGUGGCUGGGUAAGUUUGAUGUGAAAUCUCCGGGCUCAACCCGGAAAAUGCAUUGAAUACUAUCCAGCUAGAGGUUUGGAGGGGGGACUGGAAUUCUUGGUGUAGCAGUGAAAUGCGUAGAUAUCAAGAGGAACACCAGUGGCGAAGGCGAGUCCCUGGACAAAUCCUGACACUGAGGCACGAAAGCUAGGGGAGCAAACAGG
rnacentral:rRNA from 1 species